UGGGGAAUAUUGCACAAUGGGCGAAAGCCUGAUGCAGCGACGCCGCGUGAGGGAUGACGGCCUUCGGGUUGUAAACCUCUUUCAGCAGGGAAGAAGCGAAAGUGACGGUACCUGCAGAAGAAGCGCCGGCUAACUACGUGCCAGCAGCCGCGGUAAUACGGAGGGGGCGAGCGUUAUUCGGAAUUAUUGGGCGUAAAGGGCGCGUAGGCGGCCCGGUAAGUCAAAGGUGAAAUCCCUCGGCUCAACUGAGGAACUGCCUUUGGAACUGUCGGGCUUGAGGCCGGGAGGGGGUAGCGGAAUUCCCAGUGUAGCGGUGAAAUGCGUAGAUAUUGGGAGGAACACCGGUGGCGAAGGCGGCUACCUGGACCGGUUCUGACGCUGAGGCGCGAAAGCGUGGGUAGCAAA
rnacentral:rRNA from 1 species